rnacentral:ncRNA from 1 species
GUCAGGUGCCUGUGUUUUCAUUCCGCAGGUUAAAAGGGAAGAGGGGUGCGAGUCCCCCGCGGUCACGCCGCUGUAUAUGCAGAGCCGCCUUUCAUGAUGUCACCGGGUGAACUUGUCCGGGAAGACGAAAGGCAGCGUGGAAGCUAAGCCAGAAGACCUGCCUCGACGUA